rnacentral:rRNA from 1 species
CACGUAGGGGGCAAGCGUUGUUCGGAAUUACUGGGCGUAAAGGGCAUGUAGGCGGUCCUGUAAGCCUGGCGUGAAAGGCUGCGGCUCAACCGUAGCACUGCGCUGGGAACUGCGGGACUGGAGUCACGGAGGGGGAGCUAGAAUUCCGGGUGUAGGGGUGAAAUCUGUAGAUAUCCGGAAGAAUACCAGUGGCGAAGGCGAGCUCCUGGCCGAUGACUGACGCUGAGGUGCGAAAGCGUGGGGAGCAAACAGG